UCGAGGAUCUUCGGCAAUGGGCGCAAGCCUGACCGAGCGACGCCGCGUGGACGACGAAGGCCUUCGGGUUGUAAAGUCCUUUAGUGGGGGAGGAAGCCGCAAGGUUGACCGACCCCAAGAAUAAGCACGGGCUAAGUUCGUGCCAGCAGCCGCGGUAAGACGAACCGUGCGAACGUUGUUCGGAAUCACUGGGCUUAAAGGGCGCGUAGGCGGCCGGCCAAGUCCGGGGUGAAAGCCCCCAGCUCAACUGGGGAAGUGCCUUGGAUACUGGCCGACUCGAGCGAGAUAGGGGUCGUGGGAACUUCCGGUGGAGCGGUGAAAUGCGUUGAUAUCGGAAGGAACGCCGGUGGCGAAAGCGCACGACUGGACCUCACCUGACGCUGAGGCGCGAAAGCCAGGGGAGCAAACGGGAUUAGAUACCCCCGUAGUCC
rnacentral:rRNA from 1 species